CCUACGGGAGGCAGCAGUGGGGAAUAUUGGGCAAUGGGCGCAAGCUUGACCCAGCAACGCCGCGUGAAGGAAGAAGGCUUUCGGGUUGUAAACUUCUUUUGUCAGGGACGAAGCAAGUGACGGUACCUGACGAAUAAGCCACGGCUAACUACGUGCCAGCAGCCGCGGUAAUACGGAGGUGGCAAGCGUUAUCCGGAUUUACUGGGUGUAAAGGGCGUGUAGGCGGGGAAGCAAGUCAGAUGUGAAAACCACGGGCUCAACCUGUGGCCUGCAUUUGAAACUGUUUUUCUGGAGUGCUGGAGAGGCAAGCGGAAUGCCGGGUGUAGCGGUGAAAUGCGUAGAUAUACGGAGGAACACCAGUGGCGAAGGCGGAUUGCUGGACAGUAACUGACGCUGAGGCGCGAAAGCGUGGGGAGCAAACAGGAUUAGAUACCCUAGUAGUC
rnacentral:rRNA from 1 species